UACGGGGGGUGCGAGCGUUGUCCGGAAUCAUUGGGCGUAAAGGGUGCGUAGGCGGCGCGGUAAGUCGGGUGUGAAAUCUCGGAGCUUAACUCCGAAACUGCAUUCGAUACUGCCGUGCUUGAGGACUGGAGAGGAGACUGGAAUUUACGGUGUAGCGGUGAAAUGCGUAGAUAUCGUAAGGAAGACCAGUGGCGAAGGCGGGUCUCUGGACAGUUCCUGACGCUGAGGCACGAAGGUCAGGGGAGCAAACGGG
rnacentral:rRNA from 1 species